rnacentral:miRNA from 1 species
UCCAGGUGUGUGUGUGUGUGUGUGUGUGUGUGUGUGUGCACACGUCCACGUGCAUGCACACAUGCCCA